CGGGCUCUUUGGCUUUCCAUUAUAUCCUUCGUUCUCCCGAUGAAUUAUUCCCUCUCUCUUUCAAACCUAUUUCCACCUCCUCCAUUUUCCUCGCAAUAUGGCCAACAAAUAUGCAGUAACCACCUUCAUCUAUGAGAUACAGAGGAAAUCCAGAAGAAUAGAAAGAUUGAUUGCUGAUCGGCUGCAGCGCCUGAAGCAAGGGUUUAACGCAAGGAAGAUGAAGGACCUCCUCGAUUUUCACUCUCAGCAGUUGAAAUCGAUUCCCAAUUGCAGUGUUUCUUCCUUGUUGUAUCUCUCUUUGUUCCUCUUCUUCUUUGUCUCUCCAAUUCUAAAAACCAUCACAUUCUCAAAGGAAUAUGGUUAUUUUGCCAAAAGUGAUUAAAUUGGCUUUCACUAGCUGGAUUUGCUUCAAUUAAUUUUGAUCAUCGGUGAAGUAAUUAAUAGCUUUGAGAGAACUUACCCAACAAUUUUGCGAGCUAUUCUGGUUCAAAAGCAAGAAUUUGGCAGAUGUGAAGGGACUGGAUUAGGAGAAAGAAGAAAGUUCUACAACAUUUGAUUCUCAACUUUACAGAUGGAAAAUAUGUUCAAGAUAUGAGUCAAUUAUGAGAUUGGAAUUCUUUUUCAAGUCCUUUUUUCUACUCUUUCAUGAACUUACCUGCUUUUCUAUGCUUGAUUCGAAUAAUAGCUAUGAGUCCCUGGAAAAGCUGUAGCGCCGAAAAAUACCAGAGAUAAUUUUUCCAUUAUUAUUUGCUGCUGUCCUUACUUUAAAUUAUGCGACGCUAGGCCACGGGAAUCAGGUCUCCCCUUAUUCAUAAUUCUUUUCUUGUAAGAGUUAAAAAAUGGCAAUCAGCUACUCCAUACAUACAGGCUUCUUGAUCAAAUGUUCAUGCUUUCUUUGUCUCUAUCAGAUGUCUUCAACAUUUGAGUAGGCUUGAUCUUGGGGAUCUUGAAAGAAUUGGCUACAGUUGUUAUUGUUUAGUUAUCUUUCAAGUUUUAGGUGAAAUUAGUUUAAUUUAAAACUAGGCAUCCUAAGCUUUCUUUUGGUGGGCCACUUGCUGCGAGUGGAGCUAAAAUGAGUGAGAUAUAAGGUUCUUGAUGUUAGGUAACGUCUUAUCCUGGUUCUAUUAUAGGAAUAGUUAAAUGAAAUGAUAUUGUGUAUACAUGCAAUGAUAAUCUAUUGCAUUUGUUUCAUGCUUAGCUUUAGCUUCAGAGAUUAAAUGCUUGGAAUGGUAAGAAUCACCCAAGUAAUAGUACAUGUCCUCUUUCUAUGAGAAUGCUUUCGAUUUUGUAUGUAAAUAAUUAUUUUGGCCUUCAGCACAAUUUUGUGUGUGGUCCAAGUACGUGCUAACAUUCCUUUUCAAUGAUUUCCUUCAAAAUCUGCUCUGGCAGGCCAUUUAUAAUCUGUUAACAAUAUAAUUUAUCAUCGCCAUAUGUUGUUAUGCUUAGUAUCUUCACUGUCUGUAGUUGUUCUUGUAGUUUUUUAAGCUCUGCCUUUUGUAUUAAGGCAUCUACUAUGCAUUAAAAAAUGGAAGUAACGUUUGAAAUUCUCUGUUGACUGCAGAGGCAGCAAAGCUAGUUACUCUUCCAAGUAAAGUGGAAUGCUUGAAUGGAUUGAAUGGAGUUUCCAUUAAGAUUGUCUCUUUGGGUUUUGAGCACUCAGUUGCUGUUAUAGGUUUAUAUCUGUAUUUCAAGUGUGUGGCAAAUACAGUAUUAUCUAAACACUGGCAGUCUUUAAUAGCAAGCAUAUUUUUUUCCUUUGUCUUUCUUGUUAUGAUUCUAUGCUUUAUUGACCACUGGUUUGCUGUUAAUGUUUAGAUAAAAGGGAGGCCUUGAGUUGGGGUGGAGGAGCAUCUGGAAAACUUGGACAUGGUCAUGGAUCCAGCAUAUUGGAAUUUUGAAAAAUGAAUUCACUCCAUGACUGAUUAAGGAUCUGGAGGGAGUGAAGGUUACAAGUGUUGCUGCUGGGAUUUUGCAUUCUGCCUGCAUUGAUGCUUUUUCAUUCCUGGGGUAUUGCAGAAAAUGGCUUUGUAUAAAUUUUUCGGGAAACAGCGAAGGCAAAGAUGCCUUUAACUGAUGCAACACUGUAUGGACAUCGAGAUAUAUGCAGGAUCCUGGAAGUCAAUAGAGGCAAGGACUCGACCAAUGAUCAUUCCAUGACGAUCCGCCGUGAAGAAGAUUCAUAUGAGGUGAAUAUUGACUUGUCUGAACUGAAUUUGCAGCAUUCAUCAAUGAUUGAACAGAACGGUCCGGGUCACGAUCGCGACUGCAACUUUGAACCAUGGUUGUUGCGGCUUUGACUGACAAUGGAAAUCUUCCUGCUUAUAGAACUUUCACAUACGAUCGCGACUACAACUUUGAACCAUGUUUGUUGCGGCUUUGACUGACAAUGGAAAUCCUCCUGCUUAUAGAGCUUUCACAUACAAAGAGUUCUGUAGCACAUUCUUUGGGAAAGCUGGUUGCAAUGCUCCAAAUGCUCUAGGAUGCUUCAAGAAUACACCAGAAUGACGAGAAAUUUCCAAUUUUGUGAUGAAUUUUAAAAAAAUUCUACAAAAGGGGUGAUUUUGGUGGGAUAUUCCGUAGGAGGGUUUUCGCAUUCCGCGAAUGCGAGCUCUACUUAUUGAGUACAGCUCUAUUGAGCUCGCAUUCCGCGAAUGCGAGCUUAAGUAUAAUUUAAAUUUUUUUGCUUUUUUUUUGGGAGCUAGAGAAUUUUUUCCAGAAAAUAGUAAGAGCUAAAUGCGAGCUCCUAAAUGUUUUUUUAAAAAAUUCUUCAAAUAGUUCGCAUUUGAUAAA